rnacentral:rRNA from 1 species
ACGAUGAUGCCCAGCUUGCUGGGUGGAUUAGUGGCGAACGGGUGAGUAACACGUGAGUAACCUGCCCCUGACUCUGGGAUAAGCGUUGGAAACGACGUCUAAUACUGGAUAUGAUCACUGGCCGCAUGGUCUGGUGGUGGAAAGAUUUUUUGGUUGGGGAUGGACUCGCGGCCUAUCAGCUUGUUGGUGAGGUAAUGGCUCACCAAGGCGACGACGGGUAGCCGGCCUGAGAGGGUGACCGGCCACACUGGGACUGAGACACGGCCCAGACUCCUACGGGAGGCAGCAGUGGGGAAUAUUGCACAAUGGGCGAAAGCCUGAUGCAGCAACGCCGCGUGAGGGAUGACGGCCUUCGGGUUGUAAACCUCUUUUAGUAGGGAAGAAGCGAAAGUGACGGUACCUGCAGAAAAAGCACCGGCUAACUACGUGCCAGCAGCCGCGGUAAUACGUAGGGUGCAAGCGUUGUCCGGAAUUAUUGGGCGUAAAGAGCUCGUAGGCGGUUUGUCGCGUCUGCUGUGAAAUCCCGAGGCUCAACCUCGGGCUUGCAGUGGGUACGGGCAGACUAGAGUGCGGUAGGGGAGAUUGGAAUUCCUGGUGUAGCGGUGGAAUGCGCAGAUAUCAGGAGGAACACCGAUGGCGAAGGCAGAUCUCUGGGCCGUAACUGACGCUGAGGAGCGAAAGCAUGGGGAGCGAACAGGAUUAGAUACCCUGGUAGUCCAUGCCGUAAACGUUGGGCGCUAGAUGUAGGGACCUUUCCACGGUUUCUGUGUCGUAGCUAACGCAUUAAGCGCCCCGCCUGGGGAGUACGGCCGCAAGGCUAAAACUCAAAGGAAUUGACGGGGGCCCGCACAAGCGGCGGAGCAUGCGGAUUAAUUCGAUGCAACGCGAAGAACCUUACCAAGGCUUGACAUACACCGGGAACGGCCAGAGAUGGUCGCCCCCUUGCGGUCGGUGUACAGGUGGUGCAUGGUUGUCGUCAGCUCGUGUCGUGAGAUGUUGGGUUAAGUCCCGCAACGAGCGCAACCCUCGUUCUAUGUUGCCAGCGGGUUAUGCCGGGGACUCAUAGGAGACUGCCGGGGUCAACUCGGAGGAAGGUGGGGAUGACGUCAAAUCAUCAUGCCCCUUAUGUCUUGGGCUUCACGCAUGCUACAAUGGCCGGUACAAAGGGCUGCGAUACCGUAAGGUGGAGCGAAUCCCAAAAAGCCGGUCUCAGUUCGGAUUGAGGUCUGCAACUCGACCUCAUGAAGUCGGAGUCGCUAGUAAUCGCAGAUCAGCAACGCUGCGGUGAAUACGUUCCCGGGCCUUGUACACACCGCCCGUCAAGUCAUGAAAGUCGGUAACACCCGAAGCCGGUGGCCUAACCCUU